UAAUAUAGAACGCCUCUCCUAACUUACUGUUGUAUUUUAUUAUAUUAUAAAAAAUAAAAAAAAUGAGCAAAAUCUAAGUAGAGUGCCUUUGAAUGAUGAUAGUUUGUAGUUAGGUCAAAACAGUUCGAGAAAUGUUCUAUUUAUUUUACCAUAAAUAAAAAAUAAAAAUACUUAAUUAACCCAAUUUUAACCUAAAUCUAUGUGCCUACAUCAGUUAAAUUCCAUAUUUCUCUCAAAAUCUCAUCCCUCCAUUUCCUACAAUUCCAAUUCCCCAUUAUCUUCAUCAUCUCAAUCCCACAAGCUUCACGUCCCACUGUCUCAAUUCCCCCAUCAUCUCCUAAACUGUAAUAAUCCCAUUUCUUUGUCGGUUUUCUGAAAUCAAUCGCUCCUCUAUAAGCUUCUCAUUAUCACCAUCGUUCUUCACCAAAACCUCCUCACCUCCACCUUGGAUUCCCUCCUCUUCGGCUCCGAUUUUAUUAUUGGUUGUGGCGCAUCCUCCAAUUUUUCGUCUUUUGAUUUCUUCGUUUAAUUUCAUGGUAUAUCAACGGAAUCAAUGAAGAAAAGUCGAUUAAAUUGAUGCGCACAUUUUUUUCUCAUGUUUCCACAUUACACUUCAAUUAUUGUAUUGAUUUUUUUUCAAAAGAAUUGUAUUAAUUAGUAGUAAUUUUCGAAUAUUGAGUUAUAAAUCUAUAAUGCUCCGCAUCAUGUUGUUUGAUUUAGUCUACUUUUACGGAAUCAGAAAUAUUAAUACAGCAAAAUCAUGUGCUGGCAAAUCAUUUAAAUAUGUUCAAAAUUUUUAUUUUUAUUUUUUUUAAAAAAAAAAGCAAGGAAAAGAGAACUGUUAAGUGAGAUAGGCGUUCAGUUUCAUAUAAUUAUAGUACGGCUAACACUAGAUAGGCGUUGUCUAUUUUAUUUUUAUACAUAGAAUUGGAGUUGUCUAUCUUGGAUUGGUGUUAUGUAAGGCACCCCCACUUGAAGAACGCCUGUAAAGCGUUCUAUAUUGCCUAUUUCAAGCGUUCUAUGUAACCUAUUUAUUAGUAGUGUAAUUUUAAUAGAUGUAAAGUUUUUGAGCAAGCAAGCCCCAGUCAAUUACCCUGAUUGGCGAAAACUUGUUUACUAGGCCCUAUUAUGUCCCCUGCUAUGCCAUAUAAAAUAAUAUGAUAAUAUUUUGUACUAUCUUUUACCAAAUUAAAAAAAAAAAAA